AGGUCACUUCACAGGGCUUGUGGGGCUGCAAAGCCAAAGCUCUUUAUGCUAUGGCCAAAUACUGAAGUUCUCCAUGGGAUGUGAGAGCCACCAGGAAACAAGACUUAGCCACUCCCUCGUGACAUAACU
rnacentral:snoRNA from 1 species